CUAGCUUUCCCUCGCCGAUCUCCCCUUCCCGAGCCCUCAUCCUUGCGACACCGCCGAACCUCUCCUCUUCCUCCCGAUCCCUCACAUCUCGACGCCGCCCCGCCUCCAUCGCCGGCUCUCCUCCUCACGCGCAAGCACCAAGAUGCCGCCCCUUCCUGAUCUUCGCGACGCUGAGUUCUCCACCUGAUCCACUGCCGCUGGCUGACCAUUGGCGCUACCCUCUCCUCUUUGCACCGCUGUUGACCACCACCGCCCCACAACCAGUCGCCGUUGCUAGAUGCCGACGACCACCCUCUCCCUCUCGCGAGUUUUCUUCCUCACUGAGCCGAGGUUGGAUGGUGCAAUGGGUUGGUCUCUUCCCGAUGUCUCUCGACGAUCUCUUGCUCUUUGUCAAUGGCUUCGUUGACAUCCCAAUUCUCACCAAUAGCUACUAGUUCUUGGGUCUCCCUGCCGUUUGGGACGUUGGCACUAACAAGAACGCUGCCCAUUGGGGUCGCUUCUUCCAAGAUGUGUUUAAGAGGAUAAGUGGCUCCAGUCAUUAUGAAGAAUCGCUAAACAAACUUGACAAAGCUUUGAGGGAUAUUGAAUCCAAUCCAUCUUUCCCACAGGCAAUCAUGGAGAUGUGAUGAUUGCUAGUUAUGGUAGCAUUCAAGUAUUGUUAGCAGAAGACCCACAGCUCCGAUCACACUCUUCUAUUAGUGAAACUUUUCCGGCUAUGAUCUACUGAUGAUCACCUUAGACUUGGAUAAGUUUUGGAGGACGCUGAUUCGAGAUGAGCAUAUUGAUGCAGGGCUUUUGAUUCGAUCUUCUUGCUAAGUUUUUUCUUUCGCCAGGUAGCAAGUAAAUGAAUUAUGGAUGCUUGGAGAGUCCCGGCUGCCAGUCCCACGUCACACUCGAGGACAGUUACUUUUCGAUUUUAUUUCUAUUUGAUAGUAUAGUGAUUUUGCACAUCUUGUUUUUUCAAUAAGUCGAUGUGGAUUUUGGAGUCUAGUGUGGUGGUCGCAAGCAUUUUUGGUUAGUGACUUUGUUGGUCUUACGUUCGUAUUAUUUUGUGUUUUCCGCUGCGUUUACUUACAACCAUGUGGGAUGUUAUUAUACCGCGUGGUUGUGUGUUUAUUUUGUUCCAGCCGAGUGGACGGAUGAUAUAAACUACGUGUUAUGUUGUUUCUA